rfam:Ictidomys tridecemlineatus contig066596, whole genome shotgun sequence.
GGGGGUGUGGCUCGGUGGUAGAGUGCUUGCCUAGCAUGCAGGAGGACCUGGAUUCAUUCCUCAGCACCUCAG